rnacentral:rRNA from 1 species
AUGCUGCACGAGAAGCCCGUCCAGAUUGGCCAACUAGCCGAUGAUGCAGAUGGGGCAAACAAGGCGUGGACAGGGGAGAAGAGGCGCCACAAGCACGUACGCCCGUCAUAUUCCGAUGCUCCUUCCACUGCCCAAGACCAUGGAGACCUAAUUUCUCAUGCCACAGACAUGGAGGACACCAUCCAAGUGGGCCAAGAUCCGAUUUCUCAUGCGACAGACAUGGAGCUGCUGCUCAGAGCAGAUUCAGCACAAGAAACAAAGCAGGAUUGCUUCGGGCCGGACGUCCUUAUCAGCAAGGAAGACGAAACCCGUUAUGCCCAACUUUUGCUUCCCAACAUUCCUCUUCCAAGGGAGGAAGACCUGCCAUUUGAUAUGACAUGGGAGGAAGAAGGCAAGAUAAAAGCGCGCCUUGCACGCCUUCGCAUCACUUAUUACAAGGCCCUGAAGCCGGAGUGCGCACGUGAACGUGAGCUCAAGGAACCAGAAGAAUACACUGAUGCUGAACUUCGAAAGGAGUUGUACUUUAAGCGGUUAGAGGAGGAUGGAAGUUUUGAGUGGUACGUCCAUCCUGAUGACACCUAUAAAGCUGAAUUGAAUGACUACCAACGGAUUGCCCCUCGUAAUUUUUGGAUAGAAUUGGAUACUAGAGCAUGGAGGCAAGCAUUGAGGAUUGCAACUGACUUUGCCCAUAUGACUGUUCGUUUAGCUGCUUUUGCUUAUAAUGAGUACAUUCUUGAGAUGGAUAAGAAUGCGUCCCUCAAGGACAUAGAUCUUCUCUAUUUUGAGAUCUGGAGGCGUGUCGCUAAGAAAAAUUUAAGUUACAUGGAUGCUGUGAAGGAAGUAUAUGAAAUGGACAAGUUCGAUGUACACAAAAGGAGACUAGAUGGUGAACUGAAAGGGGUUCCUGCCAUCGCAACAAUAAAAGAAUAUGUAGUAUGUUGUCCGACAAGGUGGCAUUGA